CCUACGGGGGGCAGCAGUGAGGAAUAUUGGUCAAUGGGCGCGAGCCUGAACCAGCCAAGUAGCGUGAAGGAUGACUGCCCUACGGGUUGUAAACUUCUUUUAUAAAGGAAUAAAGUGAGGCACGUGUGCCUUUUUGUAUGUACUUUAUGAAUAAGGAUCGGCUAACUCCGUGCCAGCAGCCGCGGUAAUACGGAGGAUCCGAGCGUUAUCCGGAUUUAUUGGGGUUAAGGGGUGCGUAGGCGGACUGUUAAGUCAGCGGUAAAAUCCCGGGGCUCAACCCCGGCGAGCGGUUGAAACUGGCGGGCUUGAGAGGUCGAGAGGUAUGCGGAAUGCGCGGUGUAGCGGUGAAAUGUUUAGAUAUUGCGCAGAACUCCGAUGGCGAAGGCAGGAUACCGGCGGCGAUCUGACGCUGAGGCACGAAAGCGUGGGUAGCGAACAGGAUUAGAUACCCGUGUAGUC
rnacentral:rRNA from 1 species